rnacentral:rRNA from 1 species
UGUGACCUCAAAUCAGGUAGGACUACCCGCUGAACUUAAGCAUAUCAAUAAGCGGAGGAAAAGAAACUAACAAGGAUUCCCCUAGUAACUGCGAGUGAAGCGGGAAAAGCUCAAAUUUAAAAUCUGGCGGUCUUUGGCCGUCCGAGUUGUAAUCUAGAGAAGUGUUAUCCGCGCUGGACCGUGUAC